UACCACUUCAUUCUGUGACUUCCACACACAGCCAAAUUUUCUCCAGGGAUCUAUUCCUUGAGACCUAUUGAGGAAGUCGCAUCUUUUUUAUCCUUGUGAUUGUCAAACCAGCCAUAUAAGUUUUGCUUUCAGAAUUUCACGUGAGUCAACAUUGAAACCAGAAAUAAUUUUGACUAUAAGAGCAGAAGACCACACUUUAGCAGUCUGCAAAAACGCCGACAUAUGGUUGCCGACAGUCCCAAUGGACUAUGAUCAAGAGUUUUUUUAGACGGCCC